ensembl:lncRNA
UGGAUUGCUGCUCUCUUUUCCUUGGAAUGGGGAUAUAACCCUCUAAUCCUCUGCGGCACGUGAUCCAAGGAGUUCCUACCGACUGUUGGAAGCUGGCGCUUGAGCUGGUCCUCCUGUCUGCAUCCCCGGUACUUCCCUUGGAGACCAAAUGCUACUUUCUACAUCAUCUGAUAAUUUUUUUUCCAACUUUUUAAAAAAUCUCUUAGCUAGACAGUUGCCUCCUUUGAACACAGUCGAAACCCCUGGAGUGGAACGGAUAAUGAAACAGUUCGGGAGUUAAGAUGAGCCACAAGAAGGAAACCAUGAGGAGUUUACUUGCAUUCAGCUGAGGACUGUGGUCCUGACCAAGAGCCCGGUCUGUUCUCUUCCUUUCUUUCUUUGCUGAUCUCCUCAGCCUGCACCCCAUGACCCCUGUAUUAACCCCGUGCUAGGCAUCAUCAUCUUUUAUUAACUUGUCUGUCUUUCUUUCUGGAUCAUUAAGUUGCUUGAGGGGAGGAAUUUUUUGUCUUUUAUCUCGGUAUCACCAAUUCCUAGCAGACUCUUAACUCCCAGAAGGCAGGGAAUCCAUUUUAUUUUCUACACCUCCUGCUCACUCUCCAAUAAAUAUUUGUUGCAUAAAUAAAUAAAUUGCCGGCAAAUUGUAGGCACUUAAUAAGUAUUUGCUCAAUUAAUGAAUUGUAUGUUGAAAUUAAAUCACAUAUUUGUGCAAUCAAGGAGUUAACUAUUUUGAGAAAUAUUUAAUAUAUCCUAU